rnacentral:rRNA from 1 species
GUAGGGAAUAUUGGGCAAUGGAUGCAAGUCUGACCCAGCCAUGCCGCGUGGAGGAAGAAGGUCCUCUGGAUUGUAAACUCCUUUUUUGGGGGAAGAAUAGUUCUCUUGCGAGGGAAUGUGACGGUACCCUAAGAAUAAGCCACGGCUAACUACGUGCCAGCAGCCGCGGUAAUACGUAGGUGGCAAGCGUUGUCCGGAUUUAUUGGGUUUAAAGGGUGCGUAGGUGGUUUGAUAAGUCAGUGGUGAAAGCUGGUUGCUCAACAAUCAAGUUGCCAUUGAUACUGUCGGACUUGAGAGAAGUGGAGGUUCAUGGAAUGGAUGGUGUAGCGGUGAAAUGCAUAGAUAUCAUCCAGAACGUCGAUUGCGAAGGCAGUGGGCUGUACUUUAUCUGACACUGAGGCACGAAAGUGUGGGGAUCAAACAGGAUUAGAUACCCUAGUAGUCC